rnacentral:rRNA from 1 species
UACGUAGGGUGCGAGCGUUAAUCGGAAUUACUGGGCGUAAAGCGUGCGUAGGCGGUUCGUUAAGUUCGUUGUGAAAGCCCCGAGCUCAACCUGGGAACUGCAAUGGAAACUGGCGGGCUUGAGUGUGGCAGAGGGGGGUGGAAUUCCGCGUGUAGCAGUGAAAUGCGUAGAGAUGCGGAGGAACACCGAUGGCGAAGGCGGGUCUCUGGGCCGAUAUCGACGCUGAGGAGCGAAAGCGUGGGGAGCGAACAGG